rnacentral:rRNA from 1 species
GACGAACGCUGGCUGCGUGCUUAACACAUGCAAGUCGAACGAAGUGGCGAACGGGUGAGUAACACGUGAGUAACCUGCCCUCUUCUUUGGGAUAACGGUCGGAAACGGCUGCUAAUACCGGAUCGUGGUGGAUGGGGUCGUGGCCUAUCAGCUUGUUGGUGGUGUGAUGGCCUACCAAGGCUUUGACGGGUAACCGGCCUGAGAGGGGGACCGGUCACAUUAGGACUGAGAGACGGCACAGACUCCUACGAGAGGCAGCAGUGGGAAAUUGUGCACAAUGGGCGAGAGCCAGAUGCAGCGAUGGCGCGUGAGGGAUGAAGGCUUUCGGGUGGAAAACUUUUUUCGAUCAUGGUAGGGUAGUGGGUAAAGAAGCGCCGGCUAACUCCGUGCCAGCCGCCGCGGUAAUUC